CAGUCUAGAUUCUUACGCGAGGCAGCAGUGUGGAAUAUUGCACAAUGGGCGCAAGCCUGAUGCAGCGACGCCGCGUGAGGGAUGACGCGUUCGGGUUGUAAACCUCUUUCAGUAGGGAAGAAGCGAAAGUGACGGUACCUGCAGAAGAAGCGCCGGCUAACUACGUGCCAGCAGCCGCGGUAAUACGUAGGGCGCAAGCGUUAUCCGGAAUUAUUGGGCGUAAAGAGCUCGUAGGCGGUUUGUCGCGUCUGCCGUGAAAGUCCGGGGCUCAACUCCGGAUCUGCGGUGGGUACGGGCAGACCAGAGUGAUGUAGGGGAGACUGGAAUUCCUGGCGUAGCGGUGAAAUGCGCAGAUAUCAGGAGGAACACCGAUGGCGAAGGCAGGUCUCUGGGCAUUAACUGACGCUGAGGAGCGAAAGCAUGGGGAGCGAACAGGAUUAGAUACCCUGGUAGUCCAUGCCGUAAACGUUGGGCACUAGGUGUGGGGGACAUUCCACGUUUUCCGCGCCGUAGCUAACGCAUUAAGUGCCCCGCCUGGGGAGUACGGCCGCAAGGCUAAAACUCAAAGGAAUUGACGGGGGCCCGCACAAGCGGCGGAGCAUGCGGAUUAAUUCGAUGCAACGCGAAGAACCUUACCAAGGCUUGACAUGGACCGGACCGCCGCAGAAAUGUG
rnacentral:rRNA from 1 species